GUGAACGCCCUCACGGGCUUAUACUAUUCCAAACUCUGUGAACCGUGCCCUUCGGGGCUAUUUACAAACAUGGUGUAAUGAACGUCAUAUAUCAUAACAAAACA
rnacentral:misc_RNA from 1 species